CAUAUAAAUGGGCUAAAUAUCAGUUAAGACAUAGUAAAGGAGUAAAAGACAAAUUCUAGAGAAGGGAUAAAAUCAUAGGGGUAAAAAAAAAUCAAUUAAAGGCAAGGUCAUAUAAGUAGGUUUUGAGUUGCUUCUUAAAACUGUCAACCGAGGUUGCCUGUCUAAUAUGAGGAGGGAGCAUGUUCCAAAUCCUCGGUGUAUAACAACUGAAGGCAGCAUCGCCAUACCUCUUGCUGUUCGUCAGUGGCACCUUUAGCGGACGAGCACCAUGCGAUCUGAGGGAGCGAUUUGGAAUAUACUCCGACAGAGAAUCUGACAGGCUCAGAAAAUAAUCAGAGGGGGCAUCUGAACUGUUUGAGACCUGCAGCCUGCAGCAUAAAGAGGGAUUCAGAUUGGGUUGACCCAGGUGGAGGUCUCCUCAGCUCACAGACGAGGCCAAAUCAAUGAGGGGUGCAGUGAAAUGCAGACAGCAAACCCCACCGGGAAGGUGUUUGGAUGCAGAGCCACAGGCAGAGGAGGGAUGUGAAUGUAGAUGAGAAUUCACAUGGCGAGGACUCACAUAAGCAUGAGAGGUGAAUAAAUGAGCCCUGACAGGAACCAUA